AGGGGUUAGCAUGGUGAGGGGAGAAAAGAAGACAUCAGUUACUGGUUAUUGGUCGUCAGACACGACGAAUCGCCCAAGUGUCCUCACGCCCCAGCAUGCAGGGAGAGGGGUGAGGUGGGGGGGGGGGCGUGGUGCGGUGCACAGGCUCACUCCUCCCUGCUGCAGAGCUCAGUAGAAGAGCCAAGCAGGGGUGGGCCAGACCCAGUGAGUGCUUCAUGGAGAGGUGACACCUCUCGAGGAGAUCAAACCACACAGCUGAGCAGGAAGACCAGCUUCUGACCAAAUGAUGCGGCAGGGAAGUCUGAAUAUCAAAAGUGACAAUGCUGCUUGAAAGAGGCUGGGCUCUGGAGAUGCUGCCGUCAUCUCUAGAUGCCAUUGAGGGAAGUGGGCUCCUGGGUCAAGGGUACAAGGGAGAGGCGGAGGGCCCGGGAAGCAGUGGAUCUGAACUACCUCAGGGCAAAGCUGCAGGGGCCCAGAAGGGCCACAGGCCUCGCUCGUCCCAGGGCCCCUUCUUUUCCCACUGGCUCCUCCUCCCAUCCUUUAAAAAACCCUAGGGACAGAUGGACCACGGUGGCCCCGCUCAUGGUGGAAGGGCAUCACCCGGUGGAAAUCCCGCUUCUGAAAAGCUGUGGGGACGAAGCAGAGCCCACCACUGCUUUCUGUGCCUUUCACAAAGUGGGUGCAGGGGCAGGUGGCGCAAGCCUCCCCCAGCCCUCACCUGAGAUGCGCCCGUGCGCCUGUACAUGUGUGUGUGUGUUUGAGGUUUGGUUUCUCAACCUUUGACAAGCAUAUGAAUCACCUGGGGUGUCUGGCUAAAAGGCAGGUUCUGAUUCAGGAGAGCCUGCAUUUCUGACAAGCAGCCAGGUGAUGCCGAUGCUGGUGGUCUGUGGACCACACUCCGACUAGAAAGGUUUUAGAUGUAUGUUCUUUGUGGGGAGAAGGUCUUGGUUAAAAUUUGUCUGUGGAGAAGGCAACGUGUUGCUGUCACUUUUUAAGAUAUCUUUUCCUUAUGAUUCUAUCAGAAAGCAAUGUGCCAUUCUUAUCUCACACGGGCGUGGACGUCCGAUACUGUGCUGGGGCUGCGGGCUGGCGUUUUCAGAGUGAGGGCUCCGGGGGCAAGCGGAAGCUGCUGGUGAGCCAUGAUGGCUGCGAAGCUUCCUGACUUGGUCAUAGUGAGGUGUGGAAGAGGAAUUUAGGGGCUUGGAGAGGGCGCAGGCUGGAGAAGGCUGAGUUAAGCCAGGACCAAGAGACGCAGGAAGAGCCACAGGAGAGCGAAGACAGACAGACAGGGGAGGCGGAGUGCGGCAGGAACAAGGUCCCUCCUACACACGCUGUCAGUGCGUGAAAGUCUUGAGAGUAAGACCCGUGAAAAGGCUCAAGAUAACUCUCCAGGUGGGCCAGGCCACGCUACCAUUUGCCUAGGUCCCUGGGCAGGAAACAAAAAGGGAUGAAAAGUCCAGCGAAAAAGCAGAAUCUAUGGUUUCUGAACACCUGCUCCAUGGAGCUCCCCACAGCAGUGUCUUCACCCACAUAUACUUUUCCUGCCAGGGGCCCAAGAGAGGUCAUUCUGAAAAGCCAGUGGGGUCAGUCAUGCAGAGGGGCUGGUGGGGGAAGGGCCCAUUUUCAGGAGAAGCAGGGCUGAUGCUUGACCCACUCCUUCUGACCACCAGCCCAGGCCCUUGGUUUCUUCAUCUCAAGACCCAGCUAACAUCUCUCGGGUCCUCACAUACUGUGGAGGGCCCUGGCCUCGCCCUGGAUGGGACGCCUGACAAAGCAUCUGCUCUGCCCAUGUGGGUCUCAAGUCUCUCUUUUAUAGGAUCAAAGGCUGGUUCAAUGGAAGGAGCCCCAGACAUUGUCCAGGGGGGUCUCAAAUUCUUGGAAGAAAAGUCAGUCGGUUAAGGUGACACAGGAAGUCUGUUCCAGAACUGGAAUGAGAAGAGCUCUCCCGCUGCCUGGUCCCGAGCUCUUUUCACAAAUCCAUCCUAGGCCAGAGAAGGGAGGUGGCCAGGUGGGGCCUCGGCACUUUGUUCUCCUUGACAUCUUGGGCAAAGGUGAAUGGGUGGGGGGCAGGCUCUUAGGAUGCUGUCCUCAGCCCACAGUGGCAAUCAGGCCACAGGCCUCCUGAGAAACUACCUGCCUAAAGAUGUAAUGACAUCUGCAGCCACAUUGUGCAACCAAGGAAUUAUCACAGGGACACAGUCAACUCAGAAGACGAGCCACCACAGCGAGAAGACAAUGGGGACUGACUGCCCAGGGACGGGGCGACCUACCCAGUCCUGUGACAAUCCCCCCCCCACCUCGUGUCACACCACCUGCCCUUCUCUCCUUCUAUGGAACUUGCUGGAUGACAAUGUCAAGUGGAGAAUGAAUUUGUUCUUUUGGCUUCCAAGGGGGAGGGAUCUUCCUGUGGGCUCUGCAGUGGUGAGGCAGACGCGGCCCAGGCUGCAAGGCUCCUCUGCUCACGCCCUUCUCUUCCCUCCCCGGCUCUGACAUCUGCAGCACCGGCCCCGUCCCUGGGAGGAUGGAGUAUGCCGUCCAUCCUGCUGCUCAGUCCAGCCAAAAGGGCCCUCAGAGCCCAGCUCAGAUCCUGGAAAGACAAAUAAGAAGUGGCCUCUACACUCGGUCCCUGGAAACUGCUUCGAUGGGCAAGUCAAAACCACAGAGGCCCCCGGAGCGAAGGGAGGAAGACCACCUGAGUGACGCUCAGACUUCCAAAUGCUGCCACCCCUGGUCCUGCUCAGCAGGCUCCACGACUCAGUCUCGGGUUCCCAAACAUGAGCCCGCCACGUCAAUUCUUUGGAGAGAAACCCAGCUCUGAGCCCAGCAUCCACUGCUUCCCCUCUCCCCGACCUCCUUAGAAUGGUCUUAACUCUCCCUUGACCUCCCCUACCCUCAACUCCUCUGCCCCGAACCCGGAGAAUAAAAGCAAUUGACAGAG